AGCGAACGCUGGCGGCAGGCCUAACACAUGCAAGUCGAACGAACCCUUCGGGGUUAGUGGCGGACGGGUGAGUAACACGUGGGAACGUGCCUUUAGGUUCGGAAUAACUCAGGGAAACUUGUGCUAAUACCGAAUGUGCCCUUCGGGGGAAAGAUUUAUCGCCUUUAGAGCGGCCCGCGUCUGAUUAGCUAGUUGGUGAGGUAAUGGCUCACCAAGGCUACGAUCAGUAGCUGGUCUGAGAGGAUGACCAGCCACAUUGGGACUGAGACACGGCCCAAACUCAUACGGGAGGCAGCAGUGGGGAAUCUUGAGCAAUGGGCGAAAGCCUGAAGAAGCGACGCCGCGUGUAUGAAGAAGUCCUUCGGGAUGUAAAAUACUUUUGCCGGGGAGCAAUUUUUGAGUGUACCCGGCGAAUAAGGGGCUCCUAAACUCGUGCCAGCAGCCGCCGUAAGAC
rnacentral:rRNA from 1 species